CAAAUCCCAUACAACUAAGGCCUUAGGUAAAAACCCUUAGAGUACCUAGGAAGAAUAAGUCCUCUUUUCAAAAAUUAGUCCACCAGCUCGUGUCUACUUUUAUUUUGUAGAAAUGAUGCGAAGAAGACCAUUCGUAGAGUGUACCGAGCAAUCUGAAGCUCCAGAUCAUCCAAGUAGGGCUGAAUUUGUUGAACUCUUCCGAGCCAUCCAAGGAUUGACUACAGCUGUAGGAUAAAAUCAAGCCAACCCUUAUCUACCUCCUGCCCCAGAAUACCGAAGGACCAAAAGGUCCAUCUCUCACAACAUAGCAGAGUUUAA
rnacentral:lncRNA from 1 species